UGAAUACGAGACGCUAAGGCGUCGAAGUAGUGUAUGUCAUACUUCCAAGAAAAGCUUGCACUGUCAUAGAUAAAAAACGCCUGUACCAUAACCGACACAGGUGGGUAGGUAGAGUAUACUAAGGGGCGCGAGAUAACUCUCUCUAAGGAACUCGGCAAAAUAACUCCGUAACUUCGGGAGAAGGAGUGCCUUAUUCGUAAGGUUGCAAUAACAAGAUCCAAGCAACUGUUUAUCAAAAACACAGGUCUCCGCUAAGUCGUAAGACGAUGUAUGGGGGCUGACGCCUGCCCAGUGCCAGAAGGUUAAAGAAGUUGGUUAGCAAUUGCGAAGCUGAUAACUGAAGCCCUGGUGAACGGCGGCCGUAACGAUAACGGUCCUAAGGUAGCGAAAUUCCUUGUCGGGUAAGUUCCGACCCGCACGAAAGGCGUAAUGAUUUGGAUACUGUCUCGGAGAGGGGCUCGGUGAAAUAGACUUGUCUGUGAAGAUGCGGACUACCUGCACCAGGACAGAAAGACCCUAUGAAGCUUUACUGUAACUUGAAAUUGAAAUUGGACUUUAUUCGCGCAGUAUAGGUGGGAGGCGUUGAUUAUAAUCUUGUGGGAUUAUUGGAGCCACCAGUGAGAUACCACUCUUGUAAUGUUAGAUUUCUAACUUUGAAUCAUUAUCUGGUCAAAGAACAGUUUCAGGCGGGCAGUUUGACUGGGGCGGUCGCCUCCUAAACGGUAACGGAGGCGUACAAAGGUUUCCUCUGAACGGUUAGAAAUCGUAUCUAGAGUGUAAAGGCAUAAGGAAGCUUGACUGUGAGACCUACAAGUCGAGCAGGGACGAAAGUCGGUCUUAGUGAUCUGACGGUACUGAGUGGAAAGGCCGUCACUCAACGGAUAAAAGUUACUCUAAGGAUAACAGGCUGAUCUCCCCCAAGAGUUCACAUCGACGGGGAGGUUUGGCACCUCGAUGUCGGCUCAUCGCAUCCUGGGGCGGUAGUACGUCCCAAGGGUUGGGCUGUUCGCCCAUGAAAGCGGUACGCGAGCUGGGUUCAGAACGUCGUGAGACAGUUCGGUCCAUAUCCGGUGUAGGCGUUAGAAUAUUGAGAGGAGCCUUCUUUAGUACGAGAGGACCGAGAAGGACAUACCUCUGGUGUACCAGUUAUCGUGCCAACGGUAAACGCUGGGUAGCUAUGUAUGGAGUGGAUAACCGCUGAAAGCAUCUAAGUGGGAAGCCCACCUCAAGAUAAGUAUUCUCA
rnacentral:rRNA from 1 species